rnacentral:rRNA from 1 species
GCAUCGAUGAAGAACGCAGCAAAAUGCGAUACUUGGUGUGAAUUGCAGAAUCCCGUGAACCAUCGAGUUUUUGAACGCAAGUUGCGCCCAAAGCCUUUUGGCUGAGGGCACGUCUGCCUGGGUGUCACAC